CACGUAGGGGGCAAGCGUUGUCCGGAAUUAUUGGGCGUAAAGGGCUCGUAGGCGGUCCAUCGCGUCGGGUGUGAAAAGCUGGGGCUCAACCCCAGUCCUGCUUCCGAUACGGGUGGACUAGAGGUAUGCAGGGGAGAACGGAAUUCCUGGUGUAGCGGUGAAAUGCGCAGAUAUCUGGAGGAACACCGGUGGCGAAGGCGGCAUCCUGGACCAAUUCUGACGCUGAGGAGCGAAAGCCAGGGGAGCAAACGGG
rnacentral:rRNA from 1 species